GGUUGGAUGGCCGAGCGGUCUAAGGCGCCAGACUAAGGAUCAGCUUCUAUGAAGCUCAACUUACUGGCAUUCACUUGCAGUAAUCUGGUCCGAAAGGGCGUGGGUUCGAAUCCCACUCCAAUCA